GUAUGAAGAAGGCCUUCGGGUUGUAAAGUACUUUCGGUGAUGAGGAAGGUGACGUAUCUAAUAGGUAUGUUAAUUGACGUUAAUUACAGAAGAAGCACCGGCUAACUCCGUGCCAGCAGCCGCGGUAAUACGGAGGGUGCGAGCGUUAAUCGGAAUGACUGGGCGUAAAGGGCAUGUAGGCGGAUAAUUAAGUUAGGUGUGAAAGCCCUGGGCUCAACCUAGGAAUUGCACUUAAAACUGGUUAACUAGAGUAUUGUAGAGGAAGGUAGAAUUCCACGUGUAGCGGUGAAAUGCGUAGAGAUGUGGAGGAAUACCGGUGGCGAAGGCGGCCUUCUGGACAGAUACUGACGCUGAGAUGCGAAAGCGUGGGGAGCAAACAGGAUUAGAUACCCUGGUAGUCCACGCUGUAAACGAUGUCGAUUUGGAGUUUGUUGCCUUGAGUGAUGGGCUCCGAAGCUAACGCGAUAAAUCGACCGCCUGGGGAGUACGGCCGCAAGGUUAAAACUCAAAUGAAUUGACGGGGGCCCGCACAAGCGGUGGAGCAUGUGGUUUAAUUCGAUGCAACGCGAAGAACCUUACCUGGUCUUGACAUCCACAGAAUCUUGCAGAGAUGCGGGAGUGCCUUCGGGAACUGUGAGACAGGUGCUGCAUGGCUGUCGUCAGCUCGUGUUGUGAAAUGUUGGGUUAAGUCCCGCAACGAGCGCAACCCUUAUCCUUUGUUGCCAUCGGUUUGGCCGGGAACUCAAAGGAGACUGCCGUUGAUAAAGCGGAGGAAGGUGGGGACGACGUCAAGUCAUCAUGGCCCUUACGACCAGGGCUACACACGUGCUACAAUGGCGUAUACAAAGGGAGGCGACCUCGCGAGAGCAAGCGGACCUCAUAAAGUACGUCUAAGUCCGGAUUGGAGUCUGCAACUCGACUCCAUGAAGUCGGAAUCGCUAGUAAUCGUGAAUCAGAAUGUCACGGUGAAUACGUUCCCGGGCCUUGUACACACCGCCCGUCACACCAUGGGAGUGGGUUGCACCAGAAGUAGAUAGCUUA
rnacentral:rRNA from 1 species